GACGAACGCUGGCGGCGUGCUUAACACAUGCAAGUCGAACGGAAAGGCCUCUUUCGGGGGGUACUCGAGUGGCGAACGGGUGAGUAACACGUGAGUAACCUGCCCUUGACUUUGGGAUAACUUCAGGAAACUGGGGCUAAUACCGGAUAGGAGCUCCUGCUGCAUGGUGGGGGUUGGAAAGUUUCGGCGGUUGGGGAUGGACUCGCGGCUUAUCAGCUUGUUGGUGGGGUAGUGGCUUACCAAGGCUUUGACGGGUAGCCGGCCUGAGAGGGUGACCGGCCACAUUGGGACUGAGAUCCGGCCCAGACUCCUACGGGAGGCAGCAGUGGGGAAUAUUGCACAAUGGGUGGAAGCCUGAUGCAGCAACGCCGUGUGCGGGAGGACGGCCUUCGGGUUGUAAACCGCUUUCGCUCAUGACGAAGCUUUGUGUGACGGUAGUGGGUAAAGAAGCACCGGCUAACUACGUG
rnacentral:rRNA from 1 species